rnacentral:ncRNA from 2 species
CUCUUAUUCCGAGUUGGCGGAGGGACAGACCCUAUGAAGCCCAGCAACCUCACACGCUUGUGAAAAGGUGCUUACCUGAAGCAAGGAUCAUUCCUUGAACAAUAAGAG